UCCGUUGUAGCAAUACGAUGGAAAGUCUAGUGGCGAACGGGUGCUUAACACGUGGGCAACCUGCCAGGAAGUGGGGGAUAGCUCGCCGAAAGGCGAAUUAAUACCGCAUGUGAUUAGAGAGGACAUCCUUUCAAAAUUAAAGUCGGGGCAACCUGACGCUUCUUGUGGGGCCCGCGGCCUAUCAGCUAGUUGGUGAGGUAACGGCUCACCAAGGCUUUGACGGGUAGCUGGUCUGAGAGGACGACCAGCCACACUGGGACUGAGACACGGCCCAGACACCUACGGGUGGCAGCAGUCGAGAAUUUUUGACAAUGGGGGAAACCCUGAUCGAGCGACGCCGCGUGGAGGAUGAAGGUCUUCGGAUUGUAAACUCCUGUCAUUGGGGAACAAGGUGCAUACGUUAACUGCGUGUGCAUUGAUAGUACCCGAAGAGGAAGAGACGGCUAACUCUGUGCCAGCAGCCGCGGUAAUACAGAGGUCUCAAGCGUUGUUCGGAUUCAUUGGGCGUAAAGGGUGCGUAGGCGGCGCGGUAAGUCGGGUGUGAAAUCUCGGAGCUUAACUCCGAAACUGCAUUCGAUACUGCCGUGCUUGAGGACUGGAGAGGAGACUGGAAUUCUCGGUGUAGCA
rnacentral:rRNA from 1 species